ACAUUUAACACUCGACCAAAUGCGUACUCUCUCACUUUUUCAUACCCCACAACCAAAACGACGGUGAAAUCGGUCCUAUCUUAUUACCAGAGUCGGCCAAAUGGAUUACCUUAUUCUGAUAUAUAGACGUAUAUGUGUAACUCAGUGAAACAUAUCGUUGUUUACGUAUAGUGCUUACUGAGAACCUAGGGUUAGGGUUUUCAAAUAUAACAGUUCGGAUUUUUUAUGAUUAUUGAAUGUCAAUGAACCCUUUAAUUUUGAAAUGAAACAGGAAAAAAUGGAAAACGAAGAGAAUAAAAACACCGAGCAACGCGAGUCGUUUUCUGAAUUGGACGACUCGAAUUUAAGUGUAGGUGGAGAAAAGGUCGA
rnacentral:lncRNA from 1 species